UACGUAGGGUGCAAGCGUUGUCCGGAAUUAUUGGGCGUAAAGAGCUCGUAGGCGGUCUGUCGCGUCGGCUGUGAAAACCCGGAGCUCAACUCCGGGCCUGCAGUCGAUACGGGCAGACUGGAGUUCGGCAGGGGAGACUGGAAUUCCUGGUGUAGCGGUGAAAUGCGCAGAUACUCAGGAGGAACACCGGUGGCGAAGGCGGGUCUCUGGGCCGAUACUGACGCUGAGGAGCGAAAGCGUGGGGAGCGAACAGG
rnacentral:rRNA from 1 species